rnacentral:lncRNA from 1 species
AUAAAUUAAAAAAAUAAUGAGUGAGUGGCAAAUAAUUUGAUCUUUAUAAUAUUGAUAGGUACAGUAGAUUUGUCACCAUUUCAAUUAGUUAAGUAAGCUUGGGACUCAGUUCAUAUAGUCGCAAACACAGUUAACUCACCAUUGCAAUUAGGUUAGUAAGCUUGGUACACAGGUAAUACAGCAUGGCAAAUAUUUAAGUAAGCUUGACACACAGUUUAUCAAUGUUG